rnacentral:rRNA from 1 species
GACGUAGGGCGCGAGCGUUGUCCGGAUUUAUUGGGCGUAAAGAGCUCGUAGGCGGCUUGUCGCGUCGACUGUGAAAACCCGUGGCUCAACCAUGUGGUCUGCAGUCGAUACGGGCAGGCUAGAAUUCGGUAGGGGAGACUGGAAUUCCUGGUGUAGCGGUGAAAUGCGCAGAUAUCAGGAGGAACACCGGUGGCGAAGGCGGGUUGCUGGGCUGACACUGACGCUGAGGCGCGAAAGCUAGGGGAGCGAACGGG